GGUGUAUACAGGACCGUAUGUCAGACCUGGAGUGACCCAUGUUAAUUCGAAGAUGGAAUAAAAAUUAAAAAGUACCAUGGCCGUGUGGUGGCACAAUAUGGACGGAUGAAUUAUCGAAAAAAUGUGUUAAUCUUGCCGCUUUUGAAUUACAGGACUCAAAGUUUUGCCCAGAGACCAAACGCCAAAUGUGUCAUUUUAUGGCAGGAGAGAGGAAUUAGGAGCUAUUAUAACUGUUUUCUACGAAAUAACAUGAUUCUCUAUUCUGCAAUUUUAACUGAUUUGAACAUUUAGGAAAAUUUUAACUAUAAAUUGCAGAAUUUGUUUGAAUCACACUCGGCCUCAGUCUCAGGACAGAAAUUUUAAAUACUUGAUAACUGGAUGGUUUCUAUAUAUACACUGUAAAUUCAAAGGAGUCGUUUUGACCCCUUGGGGUCAUUUCGGUCCCUUGUGUUGAAGGGUAGUUUUGACUCCUCGGAAGGGUCGUUUUAUAUAAGAGGGGCGUUUUGGCCCCACGAUGGGCUAAAAUGACUCCUCGAGGGAGUCGCGCGACUCUUCCUGAAGAGUACAUUGGCUCCUUGAGGGGUAGUUGCUCGUUCAUAGAAGACCGCGCAUUUUUGUUUAUGAGCCCUCCCUCUUCUACGCCAGCAGCAUACUUUGUAAGAGCACUUGCAAAUCGACAAUGAUAUAUUUAUAUUGCUAUAUUUUUACUAUUUAUACUGCUGUUUGCCAAGUCGAAUAAAAUCCACUGGAGUUUGUCAGGUAGGAUACAGACCGUCCUCUGGUAGUAGUCAGAGUAGAAUAUAUAAAAAAUCGUUGGACAUUGGCCAGCCAGAAUAUACAAUAGAAUACAAUUCCCCAU
rnacentral:lncRNA from 1 species